rnacentral:lncRNA from 1 species
CCACCACCUCCACCUCCGCUUCCUAAGGCAAAUAUUUCAAAUGCCCCCAUGCCACCUCCUCCACCUCCACUUCCUCCUUCAUCUGCAAAGUUGGGUGCUCCCCCUCCGCCUCCUCCACCACCACGUCCUCCUUUAUCCGGAAAGUUGGGUGCUCCGCCUCCUCCACCACCACGUCCUCCUUCAUCCGGAAAGUUGGGUGCUCCCCCUCCGCCUCCACCACCACCACUAUCCAAGACCCCUGCUCCCCCUCCGCCACCUCUAUCCAAGACCUCUGCUCCUCCUCCUCC